AGCGAACGCUGGCGGCAGGCUUAACACAUGCAAGUCGAACGGGCACCUUCGGGUGUCAGUGGCAGACGGGUGAGUAACACGUGGGAACGUACCCUUUGGUUCGGAACAACUCUGGGAAACUGGAGCUAAUACCGGAUACGCCCUGAUGGGGAAAGGUUUAUCCGCCGAAGGAUCGGCCCGCGUCUGAUUAGCUAGUUGGUGGGGUAACGGCCCACCAAGGCGACGAUCAGUAGCUGGUCUGAGAGGANGAUCAGCCACACUGGGACUGAGACACGGCCCAGACUCCUACGGGAGGCAGCAGUGGGGAAUAUUGGACAAUGGGCGCAAGCCUGAUCCAGCCAUGCCGCGUGAGUGAUGAAGGCCUUAGGGUUGUAAAGCUCUUUUGUCCGGGACGAUAAUGACGGUACCGGAAGAAUAAGCCCCGGCUAACUUCGUGCCAGCCGCCGCCGUAAU
rnacentral:rRNA from 1 species